GAUGAAGAACGUAGCGAAAUGCGAUAAGUAGUGUGAAUUGCAGAAUUCAGUGAAUCAUCGAAUCUUUGAACGCACAUUGCGCCCGCCAGUAUUCUGGCGGGCAUGCCUGUCCGAGCGUCAUUUCAACCCUCGAACCCCUCCGGGGGGUCGGCGUUGGGGACCUCGGGAGCCCCUAAGACGGGAUCCCGGCCCCGAAAUACAGUGGCGGUCUCGCCGCAGCCUCUCCUGCGCAGUAGUUUGCACAACUCGCACCGGGAGCGCGGCGCGUCCACGUCCGUAAAACACCCAACUUCUGAAAUGUUGACCUCGGAUCAGGUAGGAAUACCCGCUGAACUUAAGCAUAUCAAUAAGCGGAGGA
rnacentral:misc_RNA from 1 species